rnacentral:tRNA from 1 species
GCUGAGGAUGUCGCUCAGUGGUAGAGCACUUGUCUAGCAUGUGUAAGGCUCUGGGUUUGAUCCCCAGCAUAGCA